rnacentral:rRNA from 1 species
UACGUAGGGUGCGAGCGUUGUCCGGAAUUACUGGGCGUAAAGAGCUCGUAGGUGGUUUGUCGCGUUGUCCGUGAAAACUCACAACUCAAUUGUGGGCGUGCGGGCGAUACGGGCAGACUGGAGUACUGCAGGGGAGACUGGAAUUCCUGGUGUAGCGGUGAAAUGCGUAGAUAUCAGGAGGAACACCGGUGGCGAAGGCGGAUUUCUGGACCAGUUCUGACACUGAUGAGCGAAAGCCAGGGGAGCAAACAGG